rnacentral:misc_RNA from 1 species
AUUACUUUCAAAUUUAACAUCUGAUAAUUUUAAAGAUAAUUCUAAUUAAAGAUGAUUCACAUUUACUAUAAAUUUUACAUCCACAAAAAACUUGUAAAAAAAUGAGUGCGCGCCAGAAUGAAGAUUUUUUUUCUUAGUUCAAAACCUUAGGAAGAAGAAAAACUAAGCUUAGACAAGAUAAUGUGUGGAUAAAAUGAGAUGAGUUGGGAGAUACUUAAAAUCCUUUAUUGCUUCCUGAUUGGUUGAUUGAAACCCCAAAGAUCCCCACCACCACUUCCAUCCCUUGCAUUCUUAGCCACCCAUUUUUCUGAUUCUCAUUUCCUUGGCAUAUAAACUCAGCACUUCCCUUUCUACACUCUUCCAGGCUGCAAUUCUCUACCCUUCAAGAGAUACGAACAAGUUGCAACUGAGAGUACAUUGGAAAGGCUUCCAAGGAAAUGGCAUCAAUUGCUGGCUCCAGUACUAUGCUUAGGCCAACCCCCUUUCUUGGCCAAAAGGGGUCAAGUGCUAAUCCUCUUAAAGAUGUUGUCUCUAUGGGAAAUGGCAAAUAUAUCAUGGGGAAUGAGUUGUGGUAUGGACCAGACAGGUUGAAGUACUUAGGACCCUUUUCAGCUCAGACUCCAUCAUACCUGACUGGAGAAUUUCCAGGUGACUAUGGAUGGGACACUGCUGGUUUGUCAGCUGAUCCUGAGGCCUUCGCCAGGAACAGGGCUCUUGAGGUAAUUGAUUGGCUACCUCAAAACAUCUUAUAUUGAAUCUUAAAUUGUCAUUAGCUGCUUCUAUUGAGCCUAAUGAUCGGCUACCUCAAAACAUCAAAUACGCAACAUAAAUAAUUAAUUAGAUUGUAAUGUGAAUUGUGAUUUGUGGCCAAGGGGCGUCCCAGCAAUAAAAGCUUGAAAGUCCUAUCUAGAUAUUUAAGGGCGGAUUGGCUCUCUAUGGACCAAAAAGAAGGAUCUUUAACGAACAACUGUGAUAAAGACUAUUAACUACGUUUGUUGAAAGCAACAUUUUAUGUGUCAAAUCGAUAUCGGCCUCAAAAUUAUUAGAUUUGAGUAAUAAAAUUACUGCCUCCUUAAUGGAGGCUGAAAGAAAAUUUCCGUUGGUUCAAUAACACACUCCUUUGUACACUAUUAUCAUGUUGCGUGAUGGAUUACAAUGUGAAAUUAAGAUGUGAAAAAGUAAUUAUUGUGCAAUUUUUUUUAGGUGAUCCACGGAAGAUGGGCUAUGCUUGGAGCACUAGGCUGCAUCACACCAGAAGUACUAGAGAAAUGGGUUAGAGUGGACUUCAAGGAACCAGUAUGGUUCAAAGCUGGAGCUCAGAUCUUCUCAGAGGGUGGCUUGGACUACUUGGGCAAUCCUAACCUUGUCCAUGCACAAAGCAUCCUAGCAGUGCUUGGAUUCCAAGUAGUCCUUAUGGGACUUGUCGAGGGAUUCCGCAUCAAUGGCCUCCCUGGAGUAGGAGAGGGCAAUGACCUUUACCCUGGUGGCCAGUACUUUGACCCUCUAGGCCUUGCAGAUGAUCCUGUUACAUUUGCAGAGCUCAAGGUGAAGGAGAUAAAGAAUGGCAGGCUAGCCAUGUUCUCCAUGUUUGGUUUCUUUGUUCAAGCUAUUGUAACUGGAAAGGGUCCCCUGGAGAACCUCUUGGACCACCUUGACAACCCUGUUGCCAACAAUGCUUGGGUCUAUGCCACUAAGUUUGUCCCUGGAUCAUAAAUUGAUUUGGAGUGGAGAGUCUGCCUAGGGUGUCAUGGUUCCUGUACUUACAAUUUUAAAAACUUGACCAUCGUUUGAGUUCCAAUGUAAAUUUUAAUUUGAAGGUGUUGCUCGUCUUCUUUACCAUGAUAUCUGUCUUCCUGAUUAGAUAGCAUUCUAUGAUUCUGUAUUUACCUGAAAAAAGAGUGAGAAGGCUUUAUCAACCCCAAGCUUUUACUAGGUAGCAAAGACCACCAUCCAUCAGGGGAGCGGGCCGGGAGGGAGGGGCCAAUUACUCGACUAUCAUUGGCAAGAAAACAUGAUAUGAAAUUGGUGCUACCAAAACGCUAUCAUGGGAUAGGUAAUGUUCUGCUGAAGAUAAAGAAAAUAUCUAGAAGACAACAUAUCUGGAAUCAUUAUAUGGCAUCAAUUUUAACAUUGCUACAAUCGUUCUCCAAACCGUAUGCUUGGUACUACAAUUUCAUUUCACAUUUGGAUGCUUGGUGGACUACCAAGUAUGUCUCAUUACAUCUAUGACAACAGAAUAUAUACAAAUUGCCUAGCCUAGUAUG